rnacentral:lncRNA from 1 species
AAGCGAACCCCUUUAGAGUUCAGACACACAAAUAUAACUUUCCUCUCUCUAGAAAUCCUUCCCCCUUCUCUCUAAAAUCACAUAUGGCUAAAAUUUGCAUGACCCAGCUCUAAAUCUCUCUAAUCAAAAUGUGAAUCAGGUAUGUGUUCAAAGCCCUAAUCUUUUCAUUUUUCUUUUAGGAACAAAAAUUUUAUUUAGGUGCUGCUCAAAUCCACGAUUUUAUAGCAGAAGAUGCUAAAAAAUGUAAUCUAAAAAAGGAAAGAGGAGGGGUUAAGUGAACAGACCUUAUUGGAAAGGUCAUCACUGAGGCGCUCAAUAUAAGGCCUUUGACCUAAUUUCUCUCUAAAUUCUUCAAGUGUGGAUUCAAUUUCUGAAUUGGGUAUUGCAAAACCACGGUCUUUAAGCAUUUCGAGCACAGUUCUGCGCGCAACGAAGUACCUGUGGCUCUCAACUCUCAUAGCUUCUAGUGAUCCUAACUCUUUCGUUUUUGUUUAUACCCAUACUAGUUUAUCUAUAAAUUUAUGUUUGUGGGUUUUUUAUAAGGAUUCUUUAAGGCAAAAUUUUCACAUGCAGUUAGGGAUUAUUGUUAUUUCAGCAAUUUUAUAUUUGUAUUCUUAGAUUUCAUCUCGAAUUUCUCUGAAUUUUUUGAUAUCUACAGGAAUACAAAAAAAGAAUUGCACAGGAAGACUUAUUUGAGGCGUAUUUGGUGUUGUUGUUGUUUAUGAUUUUUAGUCUUGACAGAACUCGGCAAUCUUAGUUUGGGUAAGUUAAAAGCUUCAUGUUGAGAGACCUAUUGUAUGUUGAUAUUUCAUACUCGUAAGGGCUGGUUGAAUCGCUACCAUAAUUUUCCUUUAGCUGAUGUAUCCAAUGUGUUUCUACUGUGGUGUAUUCAUUUUUGUUAUGUAGGUUUCUGAAAUUCAUUCUGAUCUCAGAUUGUAUGAGAAUAAAGGCCAUUUACAAACAGAUAAUUAAAUUAUUUAAUAUUCUCUUGUGCUGUGUUUUGUUGUACCAUCACCAUGUAACCAAUAUUUAAACUGUAAAAACCAUUCUGUAUUUUUUCAGCUUUUAUACUACUUCGAUAGUCCUUGUCCUUCCCUUGCACCUUGUUAUAUUCUAUGAAAUAUUUGCUUCUUUAGAGCAAUUUCUAGCAUUUUGUGAGUUCACAAAAAUGGCAUGAAUGUGAUUUACUACUUGCUUCGGUCCAGAUUGCCAAUGUUGGGAAAAGUAAACUAGAUUCAUCCAAUUUACCUAGUUCAUGUAUUAGGAAAUUAGCUAAGAUGCACGUUUGAAAGACAUAUUUCCCUAUAUGAAUUAGAUUGCUCUAGAAAAAAGUUUAGAGCCUAUCAAUUUAAUACUCUUUGAGUCUAGUUGGGUAAGAGAUGUUAAAUAUGUUUGUAAAUUAUCAAUAAGAGAUGUAGAAAUUUCUGCUGAUUCUGGUAUAACCGCAUCUGCGGUUUGGGGACCGCAGGUGCCAAGGGGAGGCCACAGGUGCGAUUAUUGGUCUGGGCAGCUAUUUCUGCAAAAGCGGUCGAGUUGGCCACAUCUCCAAAUCCGCUGAGGCGGAAAUUGUGUCGCAGAAGCGAUUCUUGAGAUUUAAAUGAAAUUCUGCAGAUGCAGAGGCAGGACCGCAAAAGCGGGUUUUGGACCGUAGAUGCGGUCAUGACUGGGCAAAAUAAAUAAAUGAGUCUUCUUCGAGAUUUUUGAAGGGUUUAUUCAUUUCUACUUCGGACUUAAAGAUUUUUGGGCGAUUCUGAAGAGGGAUUUCAAGGGAAUUCGAUAAGGUAAGGAUUUUGGACCUAAAACGCAAUUCUAUGGUGAUAUUUUAUGAAUUAGGACUGGAAAAUAAGGAAUUAAUGGACUAAAAAUGGAGGUUUAGGGCUUGAACUUAAGAGAGCUAAAAUAAAGUAUUUGCGGGGUCAAUUGAACUCCGAUUCUUGUGUUUUUAUAUGAAUGAACGCAUGGCGAGAUAAGAAAUCCUUUGAUGUGAAAAUUUCUGAGUUUCGAGAAUUGAGCCUGGAUUCGGAUUUUAAUAUUUUGGGGUUUUGUUAUAUUUUCGAUUGUUUUCGCUUGGAUUUUCUUCGCUUAGUAUAUUGUAACGUAUUCAUUCUGCUUUUGUUUAGAUUCGACGCGUGAGGAUCCUGAUUUGAGAGGCAAGGGCAUAGAGCUAGAGCUUUGGCUGGUUUGAGGUGAGUAAUGAUUGAAAAUGAUGUUCUGAUGAUUUGAAACCCCGUACUUGCAC